AUGUCCCAUUAUCCUUUCGAUCGUAGUUUUCACCCUGGGAUGAGUAGCACUCUGCUGAGGCUAGCUACCAAUUUCAAGAUGGACAAUAGGAUAGUUCAAUGGGACAAUCUCACCGGUAGUGACACCAUAAUGAAUGAGUUGGCUCACCAAUUACGUAGGUCUGGGUGGCCUGAAAGGACCUAUGAGGAGGUACGUAAAGAACUUCUUAGGUUGGAUGCAAGGUGGAAGAAGGUUGUGGAGCCGAAGAGUGAAACUUUUAGAAGGACUGCAGAAAACCAUCCAUUUUUAUGCAUCCUCGAAGGGCAAGAGUUCUUCAUCGUCCAAGGGUAA
rnacentral:rRNA from 1 species